CGCUAGAGAUUGGCUUCUUUUGAUAACAAAAGUAAAAUUUACUCUUGCAAAUUUUUCAUACAGAAAAUAUUUUAGGAAACUAAAGUAAAAUUUACUCUUUGUAAUCUAUUGUUUUAGACGUUAGUGUACCAUGUUUCAGAAAAUGUGUACCAAAAUGCAAUUCGAUGGGGUGUUAGAAUUUCCUGGUAACAGGUUUGGUUAUUGGUGUCAAUAUGGUCACAUCGACAAAAUAAUGGAGCCUAGUACUUCAUUUUGCCGUUGGCUACUUGAUGACAGACUCAUUAAGCAAAUUAAAAGAUGUCGAGGCUUUAGUUCAUUUAGCGACUUCCUUUUAUGGGAUGGUUGUCUAACAGGUCGAAGCGAAGAAACAGAAAGCACAGUCACAGGAGGCGAUUAUGAAGAUAGUUCUUCAAAUGAUAGAGCAUAAGAUGGUGCAGUGGUAAGGGGCGGCUGAAAGGCUGGCAGACCUGCAACAGCUCGACGAAGAGGAGAAGAAAAAGGCCAUGGCUUGAAUUCCAUACUGGAAUCUUCGAGAGCAUAUGGUAGUGCUGCCCAUAUCCUUUUGCCCCUGUACAAGUUGGGCGUUUGAACCGUGAUUCUUAUUUUUCUGAAAUGUUGUUCAUUUUGGUCCGUGGUUUCUUAUUCAAAUUUUACACCCAUGUGCAACCUGGAAAUGCAUUCAGGCAUAGUUUCGGCAUAAGCUAGUAUAUUCUCUUUAUGAUGUGUUCUUCACAUCAAAGGGAGUUGCGAUGAGAAAGGAAAAUGAAAGGGGGAACCAAACGAAGAACUUCUUCCCCUACCAAACGAACGUAGCAUAUGAAAGGCUGGCGACGAUAGUAUGACACUAGUGUGCGCAACCUUUUGGUAUUCUGAAAGAACCAUUCUAGAACAAUUAUGCUGGCCUUGACAGAGACUUUUUCCCUGUUUAUUAUUCUGAUUUUUUCGUGGUUAUUAUUCCUAUAAAUACUUUUCUUGUUUUAUGCUUGCAGGUAAAUGCGUAAUUAUUGGGGAACGGUGUACUGUCAUCCGACUCAUCCCACAAUAUUUCUCUUCUCCAUCAUCCGAUCGUUUUUUUCCUAGUCCUUUUCAUGGAUCAACCAAUCAAGUGUCCGGUGUGCUUGCAAAGGAUUCGUUGCGCCAUUAGGCUAAACAGUGUUUUGGGUAGAAAAGGACUGGCCAGCCUCGCCUCUUCAGGGCUAUUUGGCCAUCUCACCGGAAAAAACCUUAACACAAAUAAAACCAUGCUUGUAUAUGUUCUAACAUCUUUAUUUUCUUUUUGUAAUAUAUUUUUCACAUUGGGUUUAUUGAUGGAAAUUCUAAUACAUUGAUCGCUUGAUUUGAUGCUAAA